GGGGGGGGGGGGGGGGGGGCGGGGGGCGUGCGGGGCGGGCGGACAGACGAGGAGCUUGCUCCUCUGACGGUAUCGGCGGACGUGUUGGUAACACGGUGAUACCCUCCCAAUGAGCCUGGAGUAACUUCGGGAACCCGGAGCUACUACCGUCUACGCUCUUUAAACGCCUGGUUGAAUGAUGACCGACCGGUUUUCUGUCCCGUCUCGCGGUCUCACCGCGGCAUUCGCUAGUUGGUAAGGUCGCGGCGUACCAAGGCAACGAUGCGUAGCCGAGGUGAGAGGGUGAUCGGCCACACUGGAACUGAGACACGGUCCAGACUCCUACGGGAGGAAGCAGUAGGGAAUCUUCCGCAAUGGGCGAAAGCCUGACGGAGCAACGCCGCGUGAGUGAUGAAGGUCUUCGGAUCGUAAAACUCUGUUAUUAGGGAAGAACAAAUGUGUAAGUAACUAUGCACGUCUUGACGGUACCUAAUCAGAAAGCCACGGCUAACUACGUG
rnacentral:rRNA from 1 species